GAUGAACGCUGGCGGCGUGCCUAAUACAUGCAAGUCGAGCGAACAGACGAGGAGCUUGCUCCUCUGACGUUAGCGGCGGACGGGUGAGUAACACGUGGAUAACCUACCUAUAAGACUGGGAUAACUUCGGGAAACCGGAGCUAAUACCGGAUAAUAUAUUGAACCGCAUGGUUCAAUAGUGAAAGACGGUUUUGCUGUCACUUAUAGAUGGAUCCGCGCCGCAUUAGCUAGUUGGUAAGGUAACGGCUUACCAAGGCAACGAUGCGUAGCCGACCUGAGAGGGUGGUAGCCCACACGGGAGGGGGAACGGGGACAAGACGCCUGCGGGAGGGAGCAGAAGGAAAUGUGAGGAAGGGGGGGAAAACCGGACGAAACAGGCGGGAGUGGGAGGAAAAGGUGUCGGGUGCGAAAAACUGUUUUAUGGGGGAAAAAAAAAUGUGUAAGAACAUGUAGAGGUAUUGACGGUAAUUAAUAAAAAAGCACCGGCUAACGACGUG
rnacentral:rRNA from 1 species